rnacentral:rRNA from 1 species
CAGUAGCCGCGGUAAUACGGAGGGCGCGAGCGUUACCCGGAUUUACUGGGCGUAAAGGGCGUGUAGGCGGCCUGGGGCGUCCCAUGUGAAAGGCCACGGCUCAACCGUGGAGGAGCGUGGGAUAGGCUCAGGCUAGAGGGUGGGAGAGGGUGGUGGAAUUCCCGGAGUAGCGGUGAAAUGCGCAGAUACCGGGAGGAGCGCCGAUGGCGAAGGCAGCCACCUGGUCCACUUCUGACGCUGAGGCGCGAAAGCGUGGGGAGCAAACCGGAUUAGAUACCCCUGUAGUCCCUGUCUCUUAUAC